rnacentral:rRNA from 1 species
UACGUAGGUGGCAAGCGUUGUCCGGAUUUACUGGGCGUAAAGAGCGCGCAGGCGGUCGUUCAAGUCGCGUGUGAAAGCCCCCGGCUCAACUGGGGAGGGUCACGCGAUACUGAUCGACUCGAAGGCAGGAGAGGGUAGUGGAAUUCCCGGUGUAGUGGUGAAAUGCGUAGAUAUCGGGAGGAACACCAGUGGCGAAGGCAGCUCGCUGGGACGGUACUGACGCUGAGGCGCGAAAGCGUGGGGAGCAAACAGG